rnacentral:rRNA from 1 species
AGUGAACGCUGGCGGUAGGCCUAACACAUGCAAGUCGAACGGCAGCACAGUAAGAGCCUGCUCUUACGGGUGGCGAGUGGCGGACGGGUGAGGAAUACAUCGGAAUCUACUUUUUCGUGGGGGAUAACGUAGGGAAACUUACGCUAAUACCGCAUACGACCUACGGGUGAAAGCAGGGGAUCUUCGGACCUUGCGCGAUUGAAUGAGCCGAUGUCGGAUUAGCUAGUUGGCGGGGUAAAGGCCCACCAAGGCGACGAUCCGUAGCUGGUCUGAGAGGAUGAUCCCCCCCCCUGGACCUGGGCACCGGUCCAGCCUCCUACGGGGGGCCCCGGGGGGAAUUUUUGGCCACUGGGCGCAACCCUGCUCCCGCCAUUCCGCGUGGGUGAACAAGCCCUUCGGUUUUUAAAGCCCUUUUUUUGGGAAAAAAAACCGGCGGGUUAAUCCCCCCCUUUUCUGCCGGUCCCCAAAGAAUAAGCCCCGGCUACCUUCGC